rnacentral:tRNA from 1 species
AGGAGCGUGGCUCAGUGGAAAGAGCAUGGGCUUGGGAGUCAGAGGUCAUGGGUUCGAAUCCCAGCUCUGCCA